GUAAGGAGGUUGGGUGGGGGGGUGGAUGGGUCAAACAACACAGGACUUUUCCCCAGGAGACUGGGGUUCAUGACCUUUUGUGUCACUGAAAAGUAAAAUU